UCACACAGUCAGAGCAGUUAUGGCACGUCCCCGAGGUCACAGAGAGCAGUUAUGGCACGUCCCCGAGGUCACACAGUCAGAGACGGAACCAGGACUUGACCCCAGGCAGGCUGGCUCCAGGGCAUCUGCAAUGCUCCACCACCAUGAUGGAGGUCUGGGGCUCGUUCUCAGCUGUUCAACUCAGACCCAGACUCCACAGCAGGGCCUGGGGGCCAAUCAGAAUAGGCCCUCUCACCCUCAGGGCUAGGCGUAAGACCUGAACCUGAAGCACCUCCCGCUCAAACAAGCAGCUCAGGAACCCCGAAAUGCAGUAUACCUGGUAUGAUCUGAGUCUUUCUCAACUCUAAAGCCAGAACAGAUACUGCCCACCCUCUGGGGGAAGGAUCCCUUCUCUCCCCAGUGCAGGGAGGCAGUAGGCUGCGGGCUUCCCAACCCAGGGGUGAAGAACAAAGAGAUAGGACAGCAGCACAAGGACCCAGCGUGCCUGCUUCCCGGCCCUGCGCUCGGCCGCUCCACAGAGAGGGCGACGCGCUGAAAACCUCCGGCCACACACCAGCAACCUCAGCAGCAGCUGCAGCCUCCUCCCCCGAGGACGGCUGGUGCAGGAGCAAGAAGAACAAACCCCGGUAACAACAGCCUCCGCUCUCACCUCCC